rnacentral:rRNA from 1 species
AGAGUUUGAUCCUGGCUCAGAUUGAACGCUGGCGGCAGGCUUAACACAUGCAAGUCGAACGGUAGCAGGAAGAAAGCUUGCUUUCUUUGCUGACGAGUGGCGGACGGGUGAGUAAUGCUUGGGAAUCUGGCUUAUGGAGGGGGAUAACUGUGGGAAACUGCAGCUAAUACCGCGUAUUCUCUGAGGAGGAAAGGGUGGGACCUUAGGGCCACCUGCCAUAAGAUGAGCCCAAGUGGGAUUAGGUAGUUGGUGGGGUAAAGGCCUACCAAGCCUGCGAUCUCUAGCUGGUCUGAGAGGAUGACCAGCCACACUGGAACUGAGACACGGUCCAGACUCCUACGGGAGGCAGCAGUGGGGAAUAUUGCGCAAUGGGGGGAACCCUGACGCAGCCAUGCCGCGUGAAUGAAGAAGGCCUUCGGGUUGUAAAGUUCUUUCGGUAAUGAGGAAGGGAUGUUGUUAAAUAGAUAGCAUCAUUGACGUUAAUUACAGAAGAAGCACCGGCUAACUCCGUGCCAGCAGCCGCGGUAAUACGGAGGGUGCGAGCGUUAAUCGGAAUAACUGGGCGUAAAGGGCACGCAGGCGGACUUUUAAGUGAGAUGUGAAAUCCCCGAGCUUAACUUGGGAACUGCAUUUCAGACUGGGAGUCUAGAGUACUUUAGGGAGGGGUAGAAUUCCACGUGUAGCGGUGAAAUGCGUAGAGAUGUGGAGGAAUACCGAAGGCGAAGGCAGCCCCUUGGGAAUGUACUGACGCUCAUGUGCGAAAGCGUGGGGAGCAAACAGGAUUAGAUACCCUGGUAGUCCACGCUGUAAACGCUGUCGAUUUGGGGAUUGGGCUAUAUGCUUGGUGCCCGAAGCUAACGUGAUAAAUCGACCGCCUGGGGGAGUACGGCCGCAAGGUUAAAACUCAAAGGAAUUGACGG